rnacentral:rRNA from 1 species
AUUGAACGCUGGCGGCAGGCCUAACACAUGCAAGUCGAACGGUAACAGGAAGAAGCUUGCUUCUUUGCUGACGAGUGGCGGACGGGUGAGUAAUGUCUGGGAAACUGCCUGAUUGAGGGGGAUAACUACUGGAAACGGUAGCUAAUACCGCAUAAUGUCGCAAGACCAAAGAGGGGGACCUUCGGGCCUCUUGCCAUCGGAUGUGCCCAGAUGGGAUUAGCUAGUAGGUGGGGUAACGGCUCACCUAGGCGACGAUCCCUAGCUGGUCUGAGAGGAUGACCAGCCACACUGGAACUGAGACACGGUCCAGACUCCUACGGGAGGCAGCAGUGGGGAAUAUUGCACAAUGGGCGCAAGCCUGAUGCAGCUAUGCCGCGUGUAUGAAGAAGGCCUUCGGGUUGUAAAGUACUUUUAGCGGGGAGGAAGGGAGUAAAGUUAAUACCUUUGCUCAUUGACGUUACCCGAAGAAGAAGCACCGGCUAACUCCGUG